rnacentral:rRNA from 1 species
UUCCUACGGGACGCAGCAGUAGGGAAUCUUCGGCAAUGGGGGCAACCCUGACCGAGCAACGCCGCGUGAGUGAAGAAGGUUUUCGGAUCGUAAAGCUCUGUUGUAAGAGAAGAACGUGUGUGAGAGUGGAAAGUUCACACAGUGACGGUAACUUACCAGAAAGGGACGGCUAACUACGUGCCAGCAGCCGCGGUAAUACGUAGGUCCCGAGCGUUAUCCGGAUUUAUUGGGCGUAAAGCGAGCGCAGGCGGGGUAAUAAGUCAGGUG